GAUGAACGCUAGCGGCAGGCCUAAUACAUGCAAGACGAACGGUAAGUUGAGUAGCAAUACUUAGCCAAGAGUGUCGUACGGGUGCGUAACACGUAUGCAACCUACCCUAUACAGGAGGAUAGCCUAGGGAAACCUGGAUUAACCCUUCAUAGUAUUAUUGGAUGGCAUCAUUUGAUAAUUAAAACUGAGGUGGUAUAGGAUGGGCAUGCGUCUGAUUAGUUAGUUGGCGGGGUAAUGGCCCACCAAGACGAUGAUCAGUAGGGGUUCUGAGAGGAAGGUCCCCCACACUGGCACUGAGAUACGGGCCAGACUCCUACGGGAGGCAGCAGUA
rnacentral:rRNA from 1 species